rnacentral:RNase_P_RNA from 1 species
UCAGACGGCUGGACGGUCGCCUUUGCCUCAGGGCAGGGGAGGAAAGUCCGGGCUCCACGAAAAACGGUGCCGGGUAACGCCCGGCGGGGGCGACCCCAGGGAAAGUGCCACAGAAAGCAAACCGCCACUCCUUCGGGAUGGGUAAGGGUGAAAGGGUGCGGUAAGAGCGCACCGCGCGGCCGGUAACGGCCGUGGCAGGGUAAACCCCACCGGGAGCAAAACCGAAUAGGGAUGGCAGGUUCCGCCCGAACCCUGGAUUUAUUCGGGGCAGGGGCGGGACAGGCGGGUUUUUGCGCCGCCGUCCGGGUAGGUUGCACGAGGCGUCCGGUGACGGGCGCCCUAGAUGAAUGGCCGUCUAUCGCCGCCAAAUAUGGGCCGCGGCGUGGACAGAACCCGGCUUACAGGCCGUCUGGCGCC